GGGUCUGUCUUGCAUUUUUUGGUAACAGCAUUCUCAGGGCCUUCUGCCAAGGGCCCGCUUUGAUCUCCCUUAAAGGACAGCAUUAUCUGACCAGAGACCCAUGCAGGAGACCUCUCCAGGUACACAUAUUUCCUGCUACUGAAUGGCUUAGACUGGGAUUUGCAAGGAACUACGAAGUCCAAGACCUUUGCCUUUCUUUUAGAAGAAGGCACCAGCUGGUUCUCCAAUGUUGAAGGUCUUCUCCAGAGAUGAACUCUGAAAGCCACAUGUUGAGAUGGCCCCAUUACAGGAUGGAGAGCACCUGAACCCCCAAGUUAUGGACUAGAAGAAGACAGUUGCCCUGGAAAAUCAUCUGACCCACAUUGGACUUUAUGUGAGGGGGAAAUAAACCUUUAUUAUGUUAAGCUACACAAUAAUAAAUAACAACAAUAAUUGUGUUUAUUUGUUA
ensembl:lncRNA LINC00511 long intergenic non-protein coding RNA 511